UACGUAGGGUCGCAAGCGUUGUCCGGAAUUAUUGGGCGUAAAGAGCUCGUAGGCGGUUUGUCGCGUCUGCUGUGAAAACCCGAGGCUCAACCUCGGGCCUGCAGUGGGUACGGGCAGACUAGAGUGCGGUAGGGGAGAUUGGAAUUCCUGGUGUAGCGGUGGAAUGCGCAGAUAUCAGGAGGAACACCAAUGGCGAAGGCAGAUCUCUGGGCCGUAACUGACGCUGAGGAGCGAAAGCAUGGGGAGCGAACAGG
rnacentral:rRNA from 1 species